rfam:Paenibacillus sp. Soil750 contig_2, whole genome shotgun sequence.
AAGGCGGUAUCCUUAUAGGAACUGCACUUGUAAGUUGAUCUGGCAAAUGACCUUACACAUGAUCUUGCAGAAUGAUGCAAAUCAUCAAGUUGCAUGGUCACAAAUGCACUGUCGGUGUCUACCACGACAACGGAAUAACCUAGGAAACAAGAUGUUGGAUUCUGCUCUGAGCCUUACAAGGACCGAGACAGAGGG